rnacentral:rRNA from 2 species
UUUCAACAACGGAUCUCUUGGCUCUCGCAUCGAUGAAGAACGCAGCGAAAUGCGAUAAGUAAUGUGAAUUGCAGAAUUCAGUGAAUCAUCGAAUCUUUGAACGCACCUUGCGCUCCUUGGUAUUCCGAGGAGCAUGCCUGUUUGAGAGU